CAGUGAAUGAUCAUAUACCCUCUGCUUGUUAACAUCAACGACAAAGAAUCAAGAGUGUAACCAAAGGUGGGCCUGGGCCUGGAUCUCUCCUGAACUUGAUGGGAAAAGGAUCCGUGUAUCCAAGCUUCACUUUCUCCCUACCAUGCAACAAAAACCCAAGUCCCUUCUCAUUUUGCUGUGCCAAUCUGUGUGGGAACUGCUGAGUCA